UACGGGGGGGGCAAGCGUUGUUCGGAAUUACUGGGCGUAAAGGGCUCGUAGGCGGCCAACUAAGUCAGACGUGAAAUCCCUCGGCUUAACCGGGGAACUGCGUCUGAUACUGGAUGGCUUGAAUCCGGGAGAGGGAUGCGGAAUUCCAGGUGUAGCGGUGAAAUGCGUAGAGAUCGGGAGGAACACCUGUGGCGAAGGCGGCCCCCUGGGCAUUACCUGACGCUGAGGAGCGAAAGUGUGGGGAGCGAACAGG
rnacentral:rRNA from 1 species